CUUUGAGGUCCAAAUCCAAAUCUUUCAUUUUCCAAAUCAUACUCAACGUUAAAAUUCUGCUGCUGAUAAUUCCCCAAAAUAAUCGCCGGACCACCACUUCUCUCCGGUGCUGAAACUCCGUCAGUUAUAACAGUCAAACAAGCAACCUCACCAUCACCAACUAAAGAAAAAUAAUUGUCAUUCGGUAACUUCAUUUUUGCACCCCCCUUAAACUGAAACACCAACUCCGGAAACGGCACUGUUUUCACUCCGGUGAAAUCAUAACAGAGACUCAACCCUGAUUCACCUUCAAUAUCUUUCGCUCUUGUGAAAUUCGAAAGCUGUUUUUCAAACUCCUUUGCCACCAAAUCGUAGAUUUUACGUUCCAUGAAAGUGAACGUUGAUCCAGAAUCAACGAUAGUGCCACCAUUACCGUCGGUUCCAAUUUCUGGAAUCUUAACACGUUUUCCUCCGAUGACGACACUACGUAGAUUCACGUAAUAGUAUUCAAGAAAUGCAGUGUUGUUCGUUGAUGGGUUGUUUCGAAACGGUGUGUAGCUUAAUCCGUUUGUUUUUCUAUCGCCGGUGGAAGAAACUUGCAAAACGAGGUUACUAUUUUCCGGUGAGUCGUCAAAUUGAUGAGAAAGUAAGCAAUAAGAGAAUCUUUUAAGACCCAUUUGCGAUGGAAGAGAAUCUUCUCCACGACCAAAUCCAGCGAUGCCAGAGGGUUGUCUGUCAGAUACAAUGGAACAACCUACGAGAAAAUUUGCUACGGUUUUGCCAGGAAAAUUGAGGUUAUCUAAUAGUAAGACACCAGCGGUUAAACCUAAACCGUAUUGCACUAAAUAAGAAGGGCAAGUGAUGUUGUUACAGUUUUGUGUAUUUGGAUUGCAACCUUGGCAACGAGAUUCGAUGUCGGGUCCGAAAAUAUAACCGCAUUUGGGGUUUGUGCAGCCUAAGAUUUUGUUGGUUGAUGAGUUUCUUGGGAUGAAAACUGGGAUUUUUGUUGGGUUGAUGUUUGGGAAGUUGCAAUUGGAACAGAGGUAGCGAGAGGUACAUGGGGACCAAACAAGACUGCUACCUGUGUCUAGGACAAAUGAUAAGGUUUGUGGUGGUGUUCCAAAAUUGAGGUUUAUUGAGUAACCACCAUAGCUUUUGGAGAAAAUUUGUGUGUUGGUGGAGGGAGAGGAUUUGGAUUUGUUGUGAUUUGAUUUUGGGGUUUUGAGGUGGUGUGCUCUUGUUAGAGAAGAUGUAGCAGCGGUUUUGAGAGAGUUGAAGAGAUUUGAGGAUGGGGAUUUGGUGAAUAGAGGGGAAAGAGGGAGGGUAAUGGUGUUUGGGUUUUGGUUUGAAGAAGAGAAUGUGAGGAGGGGAAAGAGAAGAGAAAGGAUAAAGAGAAUGUUAGGAUAAGCCAUUGGAAAUGGUGGGUGUUUGUGGAGGGAGUGUGUGUCCUUUGAGAAGUGUAGAUAGAAUGGAAUGAAAUGAAAUGAAUUAUGGGAUUUCUGUUUAUAAAUGCAUUAUUAGUUUGGGUUUACAUUAGCAAGCAGCCAAGCAACCCCAACGGGCACAUAAGGGAGUUCUUUUUAUUAAUAAGUUUUAUAAGAAUAGAUUAAAUCCAAUAUAUAUGUGGUUUGGGUAUUUAGAUUUCGGUCGAUUACAUUUUGUGUAUACAUUUAGACGCCCCAACGGUAACGGUGGAAUUUGAGGUUUCACGUUGUUGUUGCUAUGGACUCGAAUACUGAGUGCUAACACACUCUGAAUGUACGCAUGCACCUCUCCAUUUUUGGGUUCUAUUACAAGAUAAAAUUGUUAUAUCCGUCGAUUAGAGAUGUAA
rnacentral:lncRNA from 1 species